CGACCUCAGAUCAGACGAGAUUACCCGCUAAAUUUAAGCAUAUCAAUAAGCGGUGGAAAAGAAACGAAAACGAAUUCUCCAAGUAGCGGCGAGCGAAACGAGAAAAGUCCAUACACCGAAGUCGGCGAGCAGUUGUGUUCGUCAACAGUGUGGUGUUAAAGGUGUCGUUGCAUGUGCUGAAAUCAGUUCGUAGGCUCCCUUGAUUGGGGCUUCAGAGCGGGUGCAGGACCCAUAACGAACGAUGUUUUGUGCAUGGUGUCGCGGCUCCUAAUCGAGUCGGGUUGCUUGAGACUGCAGCCCAAAGCGGGUGGUAAAUCUCACCCAAGACUAAAUAUUCGUACGAGACCGAUAGCGAACAAGUACCGCGAGGGAAAGUUGAAAAGAACUCUGAAGAGAGAGUUCAACAG
rnacentral:ncRNA from 1 species